CAGUGUGUAGCUAAAUAGCAUAGCAUCUCCCUUACACCGAGAAGAUAUCCGUGCAAAUCGAAUUACACUGA
rnacentral:tRNA from 2 species